CCUACGGGGGGCUGCAGUGGGGAAUAUUGGACAAUGGGGGGAACCCUGAUCCAGCCAUGCCGCGUGUGUGAAGAAGGCCCGCGGGUUGUAAAGCACUUUCAGUGAGGAAGAACGCCUGGUGGUUAAUACCCAUCAGGAAAGACAUCACUCACAGAAGAAGCACCGGCUAACUCCGUGCCAGCAGCCGCGGUAAUACGGAGGGUGCGAGCGUUAAUCGGAAUUACUGGGCGUAAAGCGCGCGUAGGUGGCUUGAUAAGCCGGUUGUGAAAGCCCCGGGCUCAACCUGGGAACGGCAUCCGGAACUGUCAAGCUAGAGUGCAGGAGAGGAAGGUAGAAUUCCCGGUGUAGCGGUGAAAUGCGUAGAGAUCGGGAGGAAUACCAGUGGCGAAGGCGGCCUUCUGGACUGACACUGACACUGAGGUGCGAAAGCGUGGGUAGCAAACAGGAUUAGAUACCCUUGUAGUC
rnacentral:rRNA from 1 species